rnacentral:lncRNA from 1 species
ACGUAUAUUUCAAAAUAUAAAAAGCAAAGAUUAUAUCGUAUUAAAGAAAGAUAUCUUCAUUAAAAAAAAGAAGGAAAUUAAAAAGGAAUGAAAUCAAGAGAAUAUGUAGAACAUUUUGAAAAUAAAGAAUCGACUACAAGAUUAUGGAAUCAUAAUCAUAUAAGCUCGGGUGUGCGCUUUGGAAUCCUUGUUUGCUAAUCGUAAUUAAUUUUGAACUCAUUGAUAAAGGAAAAUAAAGAAAACCCCCCAUUUUGAACUUUACCAAGC